UCGUGUCGUGAGAUGUUGGGUUAAGUCCCGCAACGAGCGCAACCCUUGUCAUUAAUUGCCAUCAUUUAGUUGGGCACUUUAAUGAGACUGCCGGUGACAAACCGGAGGAAGGUGGGGAUGACGUCAAGUCCUCAUGGCCCUUAUGGGUAGGGCUUCACACGUAAUACAAUGGCGCGUACAGAGGGUUGCCAACCCGCGAGGGGGAGCUAAUCUCAGAAAGCGCGUCGUAGUCCGGAUCGGAGUCUGCAACUCGACUCCGUGAAGUCGGAAUCGCUAGUAAUCGCGGAUCAGCAUGUCGCGGUGAAUACGUUCCCGGGUCUUGUACACACCUGCCC
rnacentral:rRNA from 1 species